rnacentral:rRNA from 1 species
GCUUAACGCGAAGAACCUUACCAAGGCUUGACAUAUACCUGAAAAGGCUGGAAACAGUCUCCCCGCAAGGGCUCUGCAUAGGUGGUGCAUGGUUGUCGUCAGCUCGUGUCGUGAGAUGUUGGGUUAAGUCCCGCAACGAGCGCAACCCUUGUCCUAUGUUGCCAGCGAGUAAUGUCGGGGACUCAUAGGAGACUGCCGGGGUCAACUCGGAGGAAGGUGGGGAUGACGUCAAAUCAUCAUGCCCCUUAUGUCUUGGGCUGCACACAUGCUACAAUGGUCGGUACAAAGGGCUGCGAGACCGCAAGGUGGAGCGAAUACCCAAAAAGCCGGCCUCAGUUCGGAUUGGGGUCUGCAACUCGACCCCAUGAAGUCGGAGUCGCUAGUAAUCGCAGAUCAGCAACGCUGCGGUGAAUACGUUCCCGGGUCUUGUACACACCG